GAUGAACGCUAGCGGCAGGCCUAAUACAUGCAAGUCAAGGGGAUAGCAAUAUCACCGGCGGACGGGUGCGUAACGCGUACACAACGUGCCCAAGGGCGGAGGAAAGCGGCGGGAAACUGCCGGUAAUACUCCAUGGUGUUGUUGAAUGGCAUCAUUUAACAACUAAAGUACAAGCGCCCUUGGAUCGGUGUGCGUUCGAUUAGCUAGUUGGCGGGGUAACGGCCCACCAAGGCUCCGAUCGAUAGGGGGUGUGAGAGCAUGGCCCCCCACACGGGUACUGAGACACGGACCCGACUCCUACGGGAGGCAGCAGUAAGGAAUAUUGGACAAUGGGCGGAAGCCUGAUCCAGCCAUGCCGCGUGAAGGACGAAGGCGCUCAGCGUUGUAAACUUCUUUUGGAUGGGAACAAUAACCGAGACUUGUCUUGGCUUGAGGGUACCAUCAGAAUAAGCACCGGCUAACUCCGUG
rnacentral:rRNA from 1 species